AACGCGAAGAACCUUACCUGGGCUUGACAUGCACUGGAAAGCCGUAGAGAUACGGCCCCCCUUGUGGCCGGUGUACAGGUGGUGCAUGGCUGUCGUCAGCUCGUGUCGUGAGAUGUUGGGUUAAGUCCCGCAACGAGCGCAACCCUCGUUCCAUGUUGCCAGCGCGUAACGGCGGGGACUCAUGGGAGACUGCCGGGGUCAACUCGGAGGAAGGUGGGGAUGACGUCAAGUCAUCAUGCCCCUUAUGUCCAGGGCUUCACACAUGCUACAAUGGCCGGUACAGAGGGCUGCUAAGCCGUGAGGUGGAGCGAAUCCCACAAAGCCGGUCUCAGUUCGGAUCGGGGUCUGCAACUCGACCCCGUGAAGUCGGAGUCGCUAGUAAUCGCAGAUCAGCAACGCUGCGGUAAAUACGUUCCCGGGCCUUGUACACACCG
rnacentral:rRNA from 1 species